AGGCUCUCGCAUCGAUGAAGAACGCAGCGAAAUGCGAUAAGUAAUGUGAAUUGCAGAAUUCAGUGAAUCAUCGAAUCUUUGAACGCAACUUGCGCUCCUUGGUAUUCCAAGGAGCAUGCCUGUUUGAGUGUCGCGAAAUACACUUCAGAAAUGAGAGUUGGGUGUGAAUUGCUCUUUAUUGGGCUCACCUGAAAUGUAUUGAAGCAAGUUGGACGCUAAAGUGAAAGGCCAACUUGAAAGAUUGAACACUUUUGACCUCAAAUCAGGUAGGACUACCCGCUGA
rnacentral:misc_RNA from 1 species